CAGCAGCCGCGGGAACACGGAGGGGGCUAGCGUUGUUCGGAAUUACUGGGCGUAAAGCGCACGUAGGCGGCUUGGUAAGUUAGAGGUGAAAGCCCGGAGCUCAACUCCGGAAUUGCCCUUAAGACUGCCGAGCUAGUAGGUGAGAGAGGUAAGUGGAAUUCCGAGUGUAGAGGUGAAAUUCGUAGAUAUUCGGAAGAACACCAGUGGCGAAGGCGGCUUACUGGCUCAUUCUAGACGCUGAGGUGCGAAAGCGUGGGGAGCAAACAGGAUUAGAUACCCGCGUAGUCCCUGUCUCUUAUAC
rnacentral:rRNA from 1 species